rnacentral:rRNA from 1 species
AAAUAUCUUGAUGCGGGACUCUUCCGAGGCCUCGCAAUCAGGAUGCGUUUACUUUAAAGCAGUAAACUGAACGCAAUUGGAGGGCAAGUCUGGUGCCAGCAGCCGCGGUAAUUCCAGCUCCAAUAGCGUAUAUUUAAGUUGCUGCGGUUAAAAGCUCGUAGUUGGACUUUAUACUCAGGCAGCCAGUCCUCUUUCGAUAUUUUCUUUCCUUCUAUAACGAGGAGGGUGGGUAAUGCCAGUGCGGCGCUGAUUGCGUUCAUCAACUCUUAUGUAGUUGCAAAACGAACGGAGGAACAAAAUCUGUCGUUUUUCGCGCUUGGUUAUGCCACCUUUCCCCCCGUUUGGUUAGAUAUUUUCGUUUGAGGUUCUUACUGCGUCUGUGACUGAGUGUAUAUGAGACCGUCGAUUUAUACUUUUUCGAAAUAAUCUAUAAUCGUUGCGUGGUGCAAUUAAGUUUGUGUCCGCGUAGUCACGGUACAAGAUACAUUCGUUCACAUAAAAGUUGUCGACUCUAUCACUUUGAAAAAAUUAGAGUGCUCAAAGCAGGCCUCAUUGCAUAAUUGCCUGAAUGGUAGUGCAUGGAAUGAUGGAAGAUGAUCUCUACCUCGUUAAGUUUAGAAGCAUAACUUUUUUGUUUUUAUCUUUGCACCAGGUUUUGACAGGUACGGAUAAAGAUUCGAGGUUUGAGAUAAUGAUUAAAGGGAACUGCCGGGGGCGUUUGUAUUACGGCGCUAGAGGUGAAAUUCUUGGACCGUCGUAAGACAAACUACUGCGAAAGCAUUCGCCAAGAAUGUUUUCAUUAAUCAAGAACGAAAGUUAGAGUUUAGAAGGAGAUCAGAUACCUCCCUAUUUCUAACCGUAAACUAUGCUAACCGGUUGUCCGUCGGAAGUCAUUUCCGAGACUGGACGAGCGACCCCAGGGAAACCAGAGUUUCUGAGUUCCGGGGGAAGUAUGGU